rnacentral:rRNA from 1 species
AACGAACGUUAGCGGCGCGCUUAACACAUGCAAGUCGAACGAGAAAGGGCUUCGGCCUGAGUACAGUGGCGCACGGGUGAGUAACACGUGGAUAAUUUACCUUCUGGUGGGGGACAACAACUCGAAAGGGUUGCUAAUACCGCAUGAGUCCGCGCAAGCGGGGAAAGGCGGCGCAAGCUGUCGCCAGAAGAUGAGUCCGCGGCCCAUCAGCUAGUUGGUAGGGUAAUGGCCUACCAAGGCUAAGACGGGUAGCUGGUCUGAGAGGAUGAGCAGCCACACUGGAACUGAGACACGGUCCAGACUCCUACGGGAGGCAGCAGUGGGGAAUAUUGCGCAAUGGGCGAAAGCCUGACGCAGCGACGCCGCGUGGGUGAUGAAGGCCUUCGGGUCGUAAAGCCUUGUUGGAGAGGGACGAACAACCCAUGGGAACAAUACCCCAUGGGCCUGACGGUACCUUUUCAGAAAGCACCGGCUAACUCCGUGCCAGCAGCCGCGGUAAUACGGAGGGUGCGAACGUUGUUCGGAAUUACUGGGCGUAAAGCGCGUGUAGGCGGCUUGGCAAGUCAGAUGUGAAAUCCCUUGGCUCAACUGAGGAAGUGCAUUUGAAACUGCCAGGAUAGAGUACGGGAGAGGGUUGUGGAAUUCCCGGUGU